CUGGCUCAGGAUGAACGCUAGCUACAGGCUUAACACAUGCAAGUCAGGGGCAGCAGGGCGAUAGCUUGCUAUUGCCGCUGGCGACCGGCGCACGGGUGAGUAACGCGUAUCCAACCUCCCCCUUAGUAGGGAAUAGCCCGGCGAAAGUCGGAUUAAUGCCCUAUGUUCUUCAAUGCGGACAUCUAACUUGAAGCAAAGAUUCAUCGCUAAGGGAUGGGGAUGCGUCUGAUUAGCUUGUCGGCGGGGUAACGGCCCACCGAGGCGACGAUCAGUAGGGGCUCUGAGAGGAAGGUCCCCCACAUUGGUACUGAGACACGGACCAAACUCCUACGGGAGGCAGCAGUGAGGAAUAUUGGUCAAUGGGCGCGAGCCUGAACCAGCCAAGUAGCGUGCAGGAAAGACUGCCCUAUGGGUUGUAAACUGCUUUUAUGCGGGAAUAAAGUCAGGUACGCGUGCCUGUUUGUAUGUACCGCAUGAAUAAGGACCGGCUAAUUCCGUGCCAGCAGCGGC
rnacentral:rRNA from 1 species